CUACGGGAGGCACCAGUGGGGAAUAUUGCACAAUGGGCGCAAGCCUGAUGCAGCAACGCCGCGUGAGUGAAGAAGGCCUUCGGGUCGUAAAGCUCUGUCCUCUGGGACGAAUAAAUGACGGUACCAGAGGAGGAAGCCCCGGCUAACUACGUGCCAGCAGCCGCGGUAAUACGUAGGGGGCAAGCGUUAUCCGGAAUCACUGGGCGUAAAGGGUGCGUAGGUGGUCUAUCAAGUCAGAAGUGAAAGGCAGUGGCUCAACCAUUGUAAGCUUUUGAAACUGAUGGACUUGAGUGUAGGAGAGGUAAGUGGAAUUCCUAGUGUAGCGGUGAAAUGCGUAGAUAUUAGGAGGAACACCAGUGGCGAAGGCGACUUACUGGACUAUUACUGACACUGAGGCACGAAAGCGUGGGGAGCGAACAGGAUUAGAUACCCGUGUAGUC
rnacentral:rRNA from 1 species